UCAUUGAAAUAGGUGGUUAUAGAGCUGUCCUUGUCUGCUGAUAGGAUCACAGAGGAGCUGAGGAGGUACCCUCUACUGGGGGUAGGUGCCAGUUUCCAGAAGAUCAUUUUUUGCUCUGUAAAUAGUUAGAAGGUGCAUCUCCUGCCACGGGCCAGAGCUUUCGGUAUUUCUUCACAGGAGGCCUAAGAAUAGAUCCUUAUAUACAUGACCAACAAAGUUUUGCAUAGAAAUUUCAAACUAAAAAAAAUAUUGUAUAGUUUCAAAGUCAUCAGUCACCAAUAAAAAUUCCGGUGAUAAGUGCAUUUGAAAUGUCUGGGACAUGAAGAGCUGUUACAGUUAUGGGUUGUUUUAGAAACUUCAUGGCAAUGUUUUGGGCUUACAGUCUCUGCCAAGGACAGUCAUGUGGCAUCUACAGGAUUUCAGGAGGACAUGAAAAUCUACUUGUUUGGUCCAUUUGGCCAUCCCCUUCUCUUCUGGUGAAGUAUUCAUGCAAAACACUUUAUGAGUUUCCACAUUUUUCUCUCUUCCACUAGACUCACCACAAGGCCACACAUACUGAAACAACCAAAGAAGAGCAUUGCAGCUGUUUCCUUACUGCAUAAAGAAUGUUUUUGCAGGUAUUGACCCUGUGCUGAGUUGAGAAAUGUGUCUAGACCAGGUUCAUCAAUUUGGAGCAACCGUUUAGGAGUCCAUUGCUCCCAAAGAUACCUCCAGGUCCCAGGGACUGACACUCCCAGGGGCCCUCAGCAGACCCCAGCAGUCUCUCCUGCUCAACUUGCUGAGUGAAAAUGAGUGAACAGAGGUAGUGGAAACCAGAUGGUCAGAAACAUACUAAAGGCUCUCCUGAAGGGAAUUUAAUUGAGAGGGAAGGAUUUGUCACCUUUCACUUCUCCCUAUCAGGGCUUCUGAAAUUUGGCAGAGCUCGUCAUGGAUCUGAAGUCUAUUCCUACUAAAUAAAUUAGUGAAUCAGUGACUAACAUUAGAACUAAAUCAUCAUGAGAUUACAAUGCAUGCAAAUUGCUGCCACUGCAAUGAUAUGUGAGAUUAAAACAGGUAUGCAGAGUAUUUAUAGGACUGAUGGAAGCAUUUGUGCCAUUUGUAGUGUGUUUAAUGAUCAAGUAGAGGGCAAAAGUAGCAUCGUGCUCAGUGACAUGAUGU